UUCGGGUGCCGGCGAGUGGCGAACGGGUGAGUAAUAUAUCGGAACGUACUUUCAGGUGGGGAGUAACGUAGCGAAGUUACGCUAAUACCGCAUAUUCUGUGAGCAGGAAAGCAGGGGAGUCGCAAGACCUUGCGCUGAUUGAGCGGCCGAUAUCAGAUUAGCUAGUUGGUGAGGUAAAGGCUCACCAAGGCGACGAUCUGUAGCGGGUCUGAGAGGAUGAUCCGCCACACUGGAACUGAGACACGGUCCAGACUCCUACGGGAGGCAGCAGUGGGGAAGUAUUGCACAAUGGGGCGAAAGCCUGAUGCAGCCAUGCCGCGUGUGUGAAGAAGGCUCUAGGGUUGUAAAGCACUUUCAGUAGGGAGGAAAAGUCGAUAGUUAAUACCUAUCGGCCGUGACGUUACCUACAGAAGAAGCACCGGCUAACUCCGUG
rnacentral:rRNA from 1 species